rnacentral:rRNA from 1 species
AACGAACGCUGGCGGCGUGCCUAACACAUGCAAGUCGAGCGAGAAAGCCAUCGCAAGGUGGUGAGUAAAGCGGCGCACGGGUGAGUAACACGUGGGUAAUCUGCCUUGAAGACCGGAACAACCCUCCGAAAGGAAGGCUAAUACUGGAUAAGACCACGGAGACGAAAGUCACUGAGGUAAAAAGAUGGCCUCUGUAAACAAGCUAUCACUUCAAGAGGAGACCGCGGCCCAUCAGCUAGUGGGCGGAGUAAAAGCCCACCAAGGAGACGACGGGUAGCUGGUCUGAGAGGACGAUCAGCCACACUGGAACUGAGACACGGUCCAGACUCCUACGGGAGGCAGCAGUGGGGAAUUUUGCGCAAUGGGCGAAAGCCUGACGCAGCAACGCCGCGUGAGUGAUGAAGGUCUUCGGAUCGUAAAGCUCUUUCGGCUGGGACGAAAACUGGAUGGCUAAAAUCCAUCCAAUUGACGGUACCGGAAGAAGAAGCACCGGCUAACUCUGUGCCAGCAGCCGCCGUAACAC